rnacentral:rRNA from 1 species
CCUACGGGGGGCAGCAGUGGGGAAUAUUGGACAAUGGGGGGAACCCUGAUCCAGCCAUGCCGCGUGUGUGAAGAAGGCCUUAUGGUUGUAAAGCACUUUAAGCGAGGAGGAGGCUACUAGUAUUAAUACUACUGGAUAGUGGACGUUACUCGCAGAAUAAGCACCGGCUAACUCUGUGCCAGCAGCCGCGGUAAUACAGAGGGUGCGAGCGUUAAUCGGAUUUACUGGGCGUAAAGCGUGCGUAGGCGGCCAUUUAAGUCAAAUGUGAAAUCCCCGAGCUUAACUUGGGAAUUGCAUUCGAUACUGGAAGGCUAGAGUAUGGGAGAGGAUGGUAGAAUUCCAGGUGUAGCGGUGAAAUGCGUAGAGAUCUGGAGGAAUACCGAUGGCGAAGGCAGCCAUCUGGCCUAAUACUGACGCUGAGGUACGAAAGCAUGGGGAGC